UUUCCCACUGGUACCUACCUUUUCCGGAAAGCAUUGCACACAAGCCUGUUUGGAGACCAGAUCUAAAGAAGACAGCAGCAGCUGGGCCUGCUUUGGAAUAUUCUGGAUGAAAAUAAUGAUGCGGCUCUGGCUGUCCAGAUGGAGC